AGAGUUUGAUCAUGGCUCAGAUUGAACGCUGGCGGCAUGCUUUACACAUGCAAGUCGAGCGGCAGCGCGGGGGCAACCCUGGCGGCGAGCGGCGAACGGGUGAGUAAUGCAUCGGAACGUGUCCCGUAGUGGGGGAUAACCCGGCGAAAGCCGGGCUAAUACCGCAUAUGCUCUACGGAGAAAGGGGGGGAUCCGCAAGGACCUCUCGCUAUGGGAGCGGCCGAUGUCCGAUUAGCUUGUUGGUGGGGUAAUGGCUUACCAAGGCGACGAUCGGUAGCUGGUCUGAGAGGAUGAUCAGCCACACUGGGACUGAGACACGGCCCAGACUCCUACGGGAGGCAGCAGUGGGGAAUUUUGGACAAUGGGGGCAACCCUGAUCCAGCCAUGCCGCGUGCGGGAAGAAGGCCUUCGGGUUGUAAACCGCUUUUAGUCGGGAAGAAAAGGCGAUCUCUAAUACGGGUCGUUCUUGACGGUACCGGCGGAAUAAGCACCGGCUAACUACGUG
rnacentral:rRNA from 1 species